UGGGGAAUUUUGGACAAUGGGCGAAAGCCUGAUCCAGCAAUGCCGCGUGUGUGAAGAAGGCCUUCGGGUUGUAAAGCACUUUUGUCCGGAAAGAAAUGGCUCUGGUUAAUACCUGGGGUCGAUGACGGUACCGGAAGAAUAAGGACCGGCUAACUACGUGCCAGCAGCCGCGGUAAUACGUAGGGUCCAAGCGUUAAUCGGAAUUACUGGGCGUAAAGCGUGCGCAGGCGGUUGUGCAAGACCGAUGUGAAAUCCCCGAGCUUAACUUGGGAAUUGCAUUGGUGACUGCACGGCUAGAGUGUGUCAGAGGGGGGUAGAAUUCCACGUGUAGCAGUGAAAUGCGUAGAGAUGUGGAGGAAUACCGAUGGCGAAGGCAGCCCCCUGGGAUAACACUGACGCUCAUGCACGAAAGCGUGGGGAGCAAACAGGAUUAGAUACCCUGGUAGUCCACGCCCUAAAACGAUGUCACUAGUUGUUGGGGGAUUCAUUUCCUUAGUAACGUAGCUAACGCGUGAAGUUGACCGCCUGGGGAGUACGGUCGCAAGAUUAAAAGCUCAAAAGG
rnacentral:rRNA from 1 species